GACGGAGGAGGCAAGCGGUACUCGGAAUCACUGGGCGUAAAGGGCGCGUAGGCGGCCUAGCAAGUCUGGUGUGAAAGCCCAGGGCUCAACCCUGGAAGGGCACUGGAAACUGUUAGGCUUGAGUUCCGGAGAGGAGGGGGGAAUUCCCGGUGUAGCGGUGAAAUGCGUAGAUAUCGGGAGGAAUACCGGUGGCGAAGGCGCCCCUCUGGACGGAAACUGACGCUGAGGCGCGAAAGCGUGGGGAGCAAACAGG
rnacentral:rRNA from 1 species